AUGGGUGAUAUUCACUGCAGGGUGAGGAUAGGUGCUGCCGCACCAGGAAGGGCGCCGUGCCCCAAUCGAAUCAGUGCGCUAGAGAAGUCAAUUCGAGGUUUCACGGAGAAUCCAGGGGACAAUGUCAUAGUGCCAACGUUGGAGACAAGUUUUGAUACUUUGGGAGAAGCCUACCACUUUUACAACCUGUGCUCUUGGGAGAAGGGAUUCCACAUUAGGUACAGAAAUAGUCUGACUAAAUGUUGA
rnacentral:rRNA from 1 species